GCAAACUUGGUCAUUUAGAGGAAGUAAAAGUCGUAACAAGGUAACCGUAGGUGAACCUGCGGUUGGAUCAUUACAAAAUUCAGGUCAAUGCCACCGAAAGCACCCGCAAGGGACUUUGGUUGGCGGCGACUAAUCCACUUUGUGAACUCGACUGUUUUUUUUUUUGUGAGAAGGGUCUGGGAUCCGUCCUGUAACCGGGGCUGCGUUCCCUUACCCGGGCCUCUUCCCUCAACGGGGUUGGGCCGCACAAACUCGAAUCAAUCUUUACGUUCUCUCUGAUGCAAAUAUAUAAAUAAUGAGAAACAACUUUAGACAACGGAUCUCUUGGCUCUCGCAUCGAUGAAGAACGCAGC
rnacentral:misc_RNA from 1 species